rnacentral:rRNA from 2 species
UAAACGACUCUCGGCAACGGAUAUCUCGGCUCUCGCAUCGAUGAAGAACGUAGCGAAAUGCGAUACUUGGUGUGAAUUGCAGAAUCCCGUGAACCAUCGAGUCUUUGAACGCAAGUUGCGCCCGAAGCCUUCAGGCCGAGGGCACGCCUGCCUGGGCGUCACGCA